AAACUAACCAGGAUUCCCCUAGUAACGGCGAGUGAAGCGGGAAGAGCUCAAGCUUAAAAUCUCUGUGCAAGUUUUGCAUGGCGAAUUGUAGUCUAUAGAGGCGUGGUCAGUGCAGGCAUUUGGGGUAAGUUCCUUGGAAGAGGACAGCAUCGAGGGUGAUACUCCCGUUUGUACCCGAGUGCUUUGCGCGUACGACCCGUUUUCUUUGAGUCGCGUUGUUUGGGACUGCAGCGCAAAGUAGGUGGUAAAUUCCAUCUAAAGCUAAAUAUUGGUGCGAGACCGAUAGCGAACAAGUACCGUGAGGGAAAGAUGAAAAGAACUUUGAAAAGAGAGUUAAAGAGUACCUGAAACUGCUGAAAGGGAAGCGAAUCGUAUCCAGUGUCUAUAAUCCGUGGCAUAUUUCAUUGGCUCGCGUGCGCGUGCGGGUAGUUGGAAGUAGCUUGCUGCUCCGCUGUCGGUUCUGCGUGUGUUGGUUGGUGCCCUGUGUCAUGGUGGGACGUCAGAGUCAGUUCGUAUGCUGCGGGAAAUGGUUACGGAGGAGGUAGGUCAGGGGCUUGCUCUUGGCUGUUAUAUCUCUGUGACUAGUGGUCGUGGUUGGGACUGAGGUGCCUACAACGUGCUUUUGGGUCUUUCGGAUUCUUGCGCCGCGUGUCGUUUGGAUAGCUUGCUAUGCUGGUGGCAUUGUGGUGUGAUGGAGUCUGUUUGCAACCUUUUGCCGUUCGGGACUUUGACGAAAUGGAGCGAUUCGGC
rnacentral:rRNA from 1 species